ACUCCUUUUCUUCUUCUUCCUUGUGCCACCGAAGACCUAACCUCCCCCAUUGUUUUCGUUUCUCCAGCCCCGUCGAUGCAACUCGUUGACACACCGCCUCCAGCCACCAGUGUUUCUCCCGACAUCGGUCCGAGCCAUCUCUGCCACCGCCAACCCAACCUGCUCCCGCUGCAUCGUUGCAGAGCUCAGCCCUGCCCUCCGGAUCCGCGCAUCCGCCGCCCCUCUGUCCGAAACCCAGCCUCGUUCACCGCUUCAGCCGCCGUUUCACAUUCUCUCCAGCUGCAGACUCACGCGACUAGAAACCCAGCUUCAUUCACCGAUCGUCCAGCUGACUAUCCGAGCCCAACCACCGAUCUCCACUGGUCACUACCUACCUUCACUGUCGUUCGUCGGAUUUCGGCGAAUGUUGAUCUAAGACUGGAGUACUUUAGAGUGCGCAACGUGUUGCCCAACAGAUUCGAGUUCGUUCGGCAAGUAGUUUGUAUUCUUAAAGGUUCCAAGUCGUCAUCCAUUGAGUUUUAAAAUCUGCUAAGAGGAGAUUUUGGAGUCGAAAUCUUGCGGGUGUUUGUUGAUCAAGUUUCGUUUGGGGGACUCAGUUCAAGACUUAUUUGGUUGGAGAUCAUUAGCUUGGAUUAAUAUCUAAAUUUGACUUCGAGGUAAGUAAUCUUACCAUUGGAAGUACCCACGGGCCAGGUUUUAUUUGUAUGCUCGCGUGAUAAGUGUAUGUUAUGGUAAAUAUUAGCAUGUUGACUGAUAGUAUGAUCUGAAUCAAGUAUGUUCUGGCACGGGUUUUUUUUGUUUAAAGAUACACCUAGGCACUUGAUUGUUAGUAUGUGAUGGUAUGUGUUUUCAUAUGUUGAUAUCUGAUCUGUUGGUGUUGAGGCAUACUUGCAUGCUGUGGGAUUAUGAUGUAAGGUAUACAUGAAUGUAGUAUGAUAUGUUGUCAAUAAUCAUGUGUAUGUGAUGGAGCCAUGGUAUCAAGGAUUUUCAUGUAUGUUCCAGAAUUGUACAAUGUUGAUUUUUAGAACGUUGAGACUGUGUGACUAUCCUCAUUAAUUAGUUAGACGCUCACCAGUUUGUGUUUCCUUCGGGAUUCACUAGUUUUGUGUUUCCUUCGGGAUUCACCAGUUUGUGUUUCCUUCGGGAUUCACCAGUUUUGUGUUUCCUUCGGGAUUCACCAGUGUGUGUUUCCUUCAGGAUUCACCAGUUUGUGUUUCCUUCGGGAUUCACUAGUUUUGUGUUCCCUUCGAGGUUCACCAGUUUUGUGGGCAUACUUAACUACAAUAGGAUAGGGCUCAGUCUCUCGUUUGUUCUAUUUGUUUAUGUACCGUAGGUGGGUAUCUAGAAGACAUAGAUGCCUAGCCUGACCCCAGUGGUGGGGUUACUUACUGAGUAUUUUAUACUCAUUCUUUUUCAUAUUGUUAUUUCAGGUAAAGGUAGAGAUGCACUGGCGAUG